rnacentral:rRNA from 1 species
AUUGAACGCUGGCGGCAUGCCUUACACAUGCAAGUCGAACGGCAGCACGGGUGCUUGCACCUGGUGGCGAGUGGCGAACGGGUGAGUAAUACAUCGGAACAUGUCCUGUAGUGGGGGAUAGCCCGGCGAAAGCCGGAUUAAUACCGCAUACGAUCUACGGAUGAAAGCGGGGGACCUGCGGGCCUCGCGCUAUAGGGUUGGCCGAUGGCGGAUUAGCUCGUUGGGGGGGUAAAGGCCUAGCAAGGCGACGAGCAGUAGCUGGUCUGAGAGGACGACCAGCCGCAUGGGGACUGAGACACGGACCAGACGCCUACGGGAGGCAGCAGUGGGGAACUUUGGACAGUGGGCGAAAGCCUUAUCCAGCAAUGCCGCGUGUGAGAAGGAGGCCUUCGGGUUGUAAAGCACUUUUGUCCGGAAAGAAAUCCUUGGCCCUAAUACGGUCGGGGGAUGACUGUACCGGAAGAAUAAGCACCGGCUAACUACGUG